UACGAAGGGGGCUAGCGUUGCUCGGAAUCACUGGGCGUAAAGGGUGCGUAGGCGGGCCUUUAAGUCAGGGGUGAAAUCCUGGAGCUCAACUCCAGAACUGCCUUUGAUACUGAGGAUCUUGAGUUCGGGAGAGGUGAGUGGAACUGCGAGUGUAGAGGUGAAAUUCGUAGAUAUUAGGAAGAACACCAGUGGCGAAGGCGGCUCACUGGUCCGGUACUGACGCUGAGGUGCGAAAGCGUGGGGAGCAAACAGG
rnacentral:rRNA from 1 species